GACGUAGGGGGCCAGCGUUGCUCGGAAUUACUGGGCGUAAAGGGUUCGUAGGCGGUGCGGCAAGUCGGGAGUGAAAUCUCUGGGCUUAACUCGGAGGCUGCUUCCGAAACUGCCGUGCUCGAGUGCGGGAGAGGCGAGUGGAAUUGCAGGUGUAGCGGUGAAAUGCGUAGAUAUCUGCAGGAACACCCGUGGCGAAGGCGGCUCGCUGGACCGCAACUGACGCUGAGGAACGAAAGCUAGGGUAGCAAACAGG
rnacentral:rRNA from 1 species